AUGUGUAAGGAGGAGAAAAGGUCAUUAAGGAAGCACGGGAAGGGAUCUGGCAGAGAAGUAGAAGCAGCGGCUGUACCAGUUCCAUUUUUUCCUGGAAGCGAGUGGGAACAAGCCAUCGCAGAAGGGAAGGACACCACCACCACCAGGCACACGCAGGGGCACACAGGCAUCCAAGAGCCACACAGCACUCCUGCAGAAGCCGAAUAACAGCUUGACAGAAGUGGGGGCUUCCAAACGAAGCAGACAAACUUCAAAGUGGUAUGUAAAACACUGCCUGGUCAGCCGAAGGGUUCCUGCUGCUGCUCAUCCACGUAGCUGUCACCUCCUCCAGCCAGUUCCAGAGAAAUCCCAGACUGGGAACACCUCCACUGGGAAAGGCUGACAUCUUCAGCCUUCUGGCCCAUGCAGGAACCUGUUCUCAAAAGGCACAUUUUAUUUAUAAGGAAUUGCUUGACGGGUCAGCUUGCAGAACAGUAAUUUUAUAGAUCAAAGGGAAGAGCGGGGAAACAUGCCAGCAAUCAGAAUGGCUGACUUAUGAAUUAUGUGGUAUUCUAAUAAAAAGGUCAAAUGGAAAUUGUGGGAAUAUGUCCUAAGCUGACUGCAAUGUUUAUCUGAAAUUCAAAAAUAUAAUACAACCAAAAAAUAUUCCAAAACGAGAGUAUAAGCCAAGCAAGUUGAAAGAAGAUCUGUUUAGAAAUUCAAGAAAAGAGAAAUUCAAGAGAAAGUGAGAAACCUUUUUUUGUUAGAAUAAACAUAAGGGCAACCCCAGCACAAUAAUAAUAACAACAAAUACUAGCAAGAUUGUGUCAAAUAUAAAACAAAAUGAUUUAUUUUGGGGAAAAGGAAGUCAGUGAAUAAGUCACAAUGAGACAUAGCAAAAUAAGACAGUUGUGAUGCUAAGGUUUGAGCUACUAAUCUAAAACAAGGAGAGAAAAAAAAAAAUACAGGAGAAUCUGGUAAGAGAUUUUUCUUUGUUACCUAGCAGAUGCUAGAGGAUUAUCAACUAUUACCCCUCAUUAAGCUGAAGGGAGCCUGCAUCCAGGGGCUGUGAUUGCAGCAGAAAGCUGCCUCAGGCUGUGCCCUGACACCCAUCAGACGCCCGCCCGGCGGCACCGAGCCAUGCCCGUGGGGACAC
rnacentral:lncRNA from 1 species